rnacentral:rRNA from 1 species
GACGAACGCUGGCGGCGUGCUUAACACAUGCGAGUCGAACGGAAAGGCCCUGCUUUUGUGGGGUGCUCGAGUGGCGAACGGGUGAGUAACACGUGAGUAACCUGCCCUUGACUUUGGGAUAACUUCAGGAAACUGGGGCUAAUACCGGAUAGGAGCUCCUGCUGCAUGGUGGGGGUUGGAAAGUUUCGGCGGUUGGGGAUGGACUCGCGGCUUAUCAGCUUGUUGGUGGGGUAGUGGCUUACCAAGGCUUUGACGGGUAGCCGGCCUGAGAGGGUGACCGGCCACAUUGGGACUGAGAUACGGCCCAGACUCCUACGGGAGGCAGCAGUGGGGAAUAUUGCACAAUGGGCGGAAGCCUGAUGCAGCAACGCCGCGUGCGGGAUGACGGCCUUCGGGUUGUAAACCGCUUUCGCCUGGGACGAAGCGUGAGUGACGGUAAUGGGUAAAGAAGCACCGGCUAACUACGUG